UCAGCGAGCCUGUGUCUCUGCGUUGGAGCGUUUAAUCCACUCACAUUUAAGGUCCUCGCCAAUCAUUUCUUGCAUCUUCUGGAUCCCCGCCUCCAUUUCUUUCCGAGGUCCCGGAUCAUCUUCACCAUCAUUAUUCUGAAUUCUUUCUUGGAAGGUUGCCUAUCUCCACUUCAUUCAGUUGUCCCUCUGGGGUUCCAUCUUGUGACUUCAUCAGCCUGGGGUUAGGACCGGCCCCGACAAACACUUCCCGCCGAGGAGCCCUUGGUCCUCGUCUCCACAGCACCAAGACCCUUCUCCAACAGAGGACAAAUGCCUGACCCUGGAGGCCGGUGUUCAGUGUGUGCGAAGUGAGGCUGAGUAACAGGCCGGAGCCGGGAGAGCUGGGCACAGGGAGGCGCCCCAACAUGAGUCCCUCCCUCCACCGAAGAACGUCCCAGCCUUUCCUUCCUGCAACUGGACCACGAAGCCCUGAGCUCCCUCACCUUCCAACGUUCCCAUGGCCGGUUUAGAAAUGACCUGCUAGGCCUUGUUAUAAAGCAAAAGAGUGGCACUGGCUACAGAGACAGGGGACCUGUAUUCAAAUCCUGGCCCUGCCGCCUGCUCUACGUCCAGCCUUCAGCAAGUCCCUUCACUUCUGUAGUCUGUGGUCUGUGUAUCAGUAAAGCAGUGGUAACAAUCCCAGCUCUCGCAACCUCACCAGAUGGAGACCAGGAUCAAUCGAAUGAACUGUGGGCAUUUAAAUAGCACACACGUUACAGGAUCACAAAAAAUGAUUCUUUCAUGGGUUGCCCUCUAAGACAGGCAGUUCACAGCACCAGACACCCACUCCCUCACUCCCCCCUGCUGCUGAGACACCACUCUCCAGGCCACAACUGCUGCUCCGGAGCGGCUGCACUGCCUCUGUGACUGUCCUUGUAUCUGAUUUCUAGUCACAUGGCAAGCCAGCCUCCUUUUUUGCAGACUUAUAUAACGCCACUUUCCUCCCUCCUUGGCUAUGGCUCCUGCUUCCGCCACCUGCCCCAGGGAACUUCGCUGCCUGAGAGGCUGCAGAGAUCCAUGCGGGUGGGGGCCAGAGUGGAGCAGAGGGAAACCCUCAGGGGGGGUCUCCCUGCUUGGACCACAUCCAUCCUGGAAGGCAGAUGCACACACAGGGCCCCUCCUGGUGACCCUGAAGGCCUGACAAGAAGUUGCUUGGAGACCUGGGCACUCCACUCCACUCCAGAGCGUGUGUCCAGAGCAGCCAGGCCAGGACAUGCUCCUUCCCGGCAGCCCCAGCCAAGUCGGGCUCUUCUCUAUGGGCAGAAAAGAGAUCAGAUAAGGCCAGAGAGAUUGUUUCCUCCAACUGUCAGCCUCCUGCAUAUGCUUCCCACAGUCACCGCCUCUCCUUCCUCUGUUCCCGUGCCCAGCAACUCCUCCCCCAGCCUGUCUUGCACAGUGACCGGCACUCCUCCCGUGGGACAGCCCCCCGCACACAGCCUGCCUCGCAGUACGGUCCAGGCCCCUCGGCUUGCCCUUCCAAGCCCGCUGUCCUGCUCACUUCUGCAACUUCUUGCUGCAGCACGUCUCCGUGUCCACCUUCCCCAGGCUGGGGCUCGCCUGCCUCUCUGUGCUGGUCCCCACCCCUAAAACCUCCUCCUUUCCCACCCACCCGUUCACCUCUACAUCCAGGCGCCUGGUUCUUUUGAGUGCCCUUCCCAGCAUGGAAUACUGCCAUGCUUUGGAGCCCUGGGAGGUUUAAUCGGGCUUUUCCUGCCACAUCUUCCCUAGCAGCAACCUCAAACAUUGUUCACAUCACAGGCGCAAGCCCUCUCUACUCCCUGAGGCCUCUUCAGGCCUUGGGUUCUCUUUCUGACCCUCCAAUACUAGGAGAGUGAGGCUGGGAGGAGCCCCAGCGUGUGGUGGGACACUCUGUAUUCCGCAGCAAGCAUCUACCACUCUCUCAGCUCCCAGGCCGACAAGCUUCCCUAGGAAACCUGCAAGAUGCUAAGGUCUGAGACCCAGAUCCUGCCCCGGCUCUGCAGCAAUGAAGAUGGAUAAACCCUCCUUCUCCAAAAAUGAUUAAGGAGGUGUUAUGAAAAAACUAAGUGGAAGAAAGUAUUUUCUUUGAUAUUUUCUACACCAGAAAUAACCACUAUUCAAAGCCUCCUGAUAUUUCCCCCAUGAGCACAUGAUAUUAACUUGACGUCUGAGCAUUUUCUUUCUUUUUUAAAUUAAUUUAUUUAUUUUUGGCUGCGUUGGGUCUUUGUUGCUGCGCGUGGGCUUUCUCUAG